UGAACCCAUGAAAGAAGAAUAAAUGUAUCUGCACUAUUCAGUUUGUGCUUUUUUUAAAAAAAAACAAAAAAACAAACAAACAACAAAAAAACAACGGGAGUAUAAAGAGUCAUUUCGACAUCAUGGACCCAUCCACCGUAAAUAUCUUCCAAAUUAGGAAACGUGCUGUGUUCUGUUUGUGUGUGUGUGCCAGGAGGUGAUCGAUGUGGAGUGAAGGUGUGUGUAAGAGUCUUGUGUGUAUGGAUAGGUGGUAGGCGAGCAUUUGAGAGAGUUUGGGUGGAUGUGUGUAUAGAGAAGAAGUGAGAGAAAAAAAGAGACACGAUUUCUUGACCUUCAACAUUUCUAUUGGACUCCUUUGCAACACAUUUUAAUCAAAUGUAUAUCUGUCAGGAUUCUGGAGCCAAUCUGGGGAACAUUGGGCGCAAGGAGGGAGAGUUCACUCCAGAUGGGAUGUUAGUCCUUUGAUCGUCGUCAUGACCAGUUUGGGGAUUUGAGCCCGUGGGGUCAGGAACAGAUUGCCAGUCCUAUGAACACAGGCGUCUAAGAGAGUUUGACCCAAAAGAACCUCCUCCAACAGAACUGAGUCUUUUUUCAUUGCAUGAAACAAGAGACUUUGUUGAAGUGCCUCCAGAGCAAGAGCCAUCCAAGGAGCAACUCUUUCCACCAGACUACAACAAGGUAAGAGUAUGACCUAUACUGAACCCUAUGAUCAUUGUGAAUCCCGCUCUGUUGUUUCGAGGCCAUGGCUGCCCACUGGUUUUCCAGCUUAAAAUGUGUUUGCUUUGAU
ensembl:lncRNA